rnacentral:rRNA from 1 species
CCUACGGGUGGCAGCAGUGAGGAAUAUUGGUCAAUGGACGAGAGUCUGAACCAGCCAAGUAGCGUGAAGGAUGACUGCCCUAUGGGUUGUAAACUUCUUUUAUAUGGGAAUAAAAUGUUCCACGUGUGGGAUUUUGUAUGUACCAUAUGAAUAAGGAUCGGCUAACUCCGUGCCAGCAGCCGCGGUAAUACGGAGGAUCCGAGCGUUAUCCGGAUUUAUUGGGUUUAAAGGGAGCGUAGGUGGAUUGUUAAGUCAGUUGUGAAAGUUUGCGGCUCAACCGUAAAAUUGCAGUUGAAACUGGCAGUCUUGAGUACAGUAGAGGUGGGCGGAAUGCGUGGUGUAGCGGUGAAAUGCUUAGAUAUCACGAAGAACUCCGAUUGCGAAGGCAGUUCACUGGACUGCAACUGACACUGAGGCUCGAAAGUGUGGGUAUCAAACAGGGUUAGAUACCCCUGUAGUC